rnacentral:tRNA from 1 species
UCUCAGAUGGUCUAGUGGUAUGAUACCGGCUUGUCAAGCAAUUUCGCCGGUGACCGGGGUUCAAUUCCCCGUCUGAGAG